rnacentral:rRNA from 1 species
UCUCCAGACUCCUACGGGAGGCAGCAGUGGGGAAUAUUGCACAAUGGGGGAAACCCUGAUGCAGCGACGCCGCGUGAGUGAAGAAGUAUUUCGGUAUGUAAAGCUCUAUCAGCAGGGAAGAAAAUGACGGUACCUGACUAAGAAGCCCCGGCUAACUACGUGCCAGCAGCCGCGGUAAUACGUAGGGGGCAAGCGUUAUCCGGAUUUACUGGGUGUAAAGGGAGCGUAGACGGCAUGGCAAGUCAGAUGUGAAAGCCCGGGGCUCAACCCCGGGACUGCAUUUGAAACUGUCAGGCUGGAGUGCAGGAGAGGUAAGUGGAAUUCCUAGUGUAGCGGUGAAAUGCUUAGAUAUUAGGAGGAACACCAGUGGCGAAGGCGGCCUGCUGGACUGCAACUGACGUUGAGGCUCGAAGGCGUGGGGAGCAAACAGGAUUAGAUACCCGUGUAAG